CGUUUAUUGCCUACAGUGAGACCUGUCCAAUUAUGUACUUGUGACCCUGUAAACACCACUGAAUCAGCUGGCAGAGCAAUCAUUUUGGUUUGCAUAAAUGGUAAUUCUUAAUUAAAGUAUAACCAAAUAUUGUGCUGUAUUUUAAUUUUAGGCCGGUAUGAUUUGCAUUUGCCAAAUUUGUUGUGCAAAGUAUGUCUGGCACAGUGGUCACCUGACAUGAGAGACCUAAUAAGAAGUGGGUAUUGGCCAGCAUCUGUGAAUGCUGACACGCUGCCUUCAAAGACAUUUGAAGAAAUGAAAACUAUUGCACCCAGUUUAUCAAGACAAGGUUUUUUGCAGAUGUUGGAGAGGAGGACUUGUCACUUUGGAAGGGAUGGGAAAAUACAUGGAGAUGCAUUCCAAAAAAUCUUUAUGGAAUACACAUUCUGCCAGCACCAGUGUGAGAAAAUGACGAGUGUAGAGCACUUCACCUGCCCGGCAUGUUCACCCAACACCCUUGCUCUUUGUGCAGAUGGCAACAGAAAACUAUACCGAUUUCGUCAGUCAAAAGGGUCAGAAGAACCACAUUUUGAUGGUACCUUCAUUGCAAAGGACACUGAUGUACACCAUUGUGUUGAUGAGAUCAGGAGUAAAAUGAAAAGUACUGCUGGCAGAGGGAUUUGUGGAGCCAGUCAGUGGUCUGCUGCACGUGAAACUGCCAGAAGAGCAAGCAAACUGGAUGAAGAGGGUCUGGAGGUGGUUGUCUGCAGACAUGGACUAAUACUCAAGGCUCUUAACAUGUACAGAGGGGAAAUAUUCGCCUAUCCACUGUACCUGCAGAAGGCGCUCCAAGCAGCCACAAAUGGACAGUUCCAUUGCACGGAUAUUGCAUGCAAGUAUUGGCCCUACCUAGAGAAGCUGGCAGUCUCCAUGUUGGAACUCAGACCUUUACUGCAGAUGAGACCAUUCCUUUCUGUCAUGCAUGCCAAGGCUCAUUCAACCAAGUGUGAGGUACUUCAUAUUCUUAAUCAUACCAUUUAUUACUGGUAUAAUACACUAUAUGAUUAAAUAUAAGUGUCACACUGAUUUAUUAGAUAAUCUGGAGUGGCAAGAAUCAGGAAGGUGCAUCAAGACUUUUAAAAAGGCUGAGGCUGAGUCUCAGAGACUUGAGGAUUUGAGAAGUGAACUAGGGUGUCCUCAGAACACUGUGCUUCAGUGGGUACAUGAUGUCAGACAGUGGGCUACUGAUGAUUCGGUAGGUACCAGAUGUGAUGAACAACAUAACCUUCAGAAAUCAAUUGAACAAAUGUUUCUUGGAGUUCAUCAAAAAAAAAAAAAGCCAGCCUUUAUAAUCAGACUGACAGCAACAAAAUUCGACAUUUGCGUCAAAGGAAAUUGUGGGAAGAGAAGAGAAAACUUUUGCAAGCAAUCAAGCUCUACAGUGAGCAGAUGCCAGAUGAGGAGCGCAUCGCUGAGGAGAAGGUAGUCAGCGGACUCUCUUUGGGGU